rnacentral:rRNA from 1 species
CGGACGGGUGAGUAAUGCCUAGGAAAUUGCCCUGAUGUGGGGGAUAACCAUUGGAAACGAUGGCUAAUACCGCAUGAUGCCUACGGGCCAAAGAGGGGGACCUUCGGGCCUCUCGCGUCAGGAUAUGCCUAGGUGGGAUUAGCUAGUUGGUGAGGUAAGGGCUCACCAAGGCGACGAUCCCUAGCUGGUCUGAGAGGAUGAUCAGCCACACUGGAACUGAGACACGGUCCAGACUCCUACGGGAGGCAGCAGUGGGGAAUAUUGCACAAUGGGCGCAAGCCUGAUGCAGCCAUGCCGCGUGUAUGAAGAAGGCCUUCGGGUUGUAAAG